rnacentral:rRNA from 1 species
GUAAGCCGGUGCGCGUUGGUGUAUGCGGGGUUGAGGGGCCUGCGAGGCGGUAGUACCGAACCGCCGACGAGUUCAAAGCAUGUUUUUAGCAGAACGAGUCUGGAAAGUCUCGGCCGAAGAGGGUGAUAGCCCCGUAAGCGAAAGGAACAUGUCUCGUAGCAGAGUCCCCGAGUACCAUGGAGCACGUGGAAUUCCAUGGGAAUCCGGGAGGACCAUCUCCCAAGGCUAAAUACAAGCCAAUGACCGAUAGUGAACUAGUACCGUGAGGGAAAGGUGAAAAGCACCCCGAGAGGGGAGUGAAAUAGUCCCUGAAACCAUGUACCUACAACCAGUCGAAGCCCUUUUCGGAGGGUGACGGCGUACCUUUUGUUUAAUGGUCCAGCGAGUUACGCAUGUGCAGCGAGGUUAAAUGCUUGAGGCAUGAAGCCGGAGCGAAAGCGAGUCUUAAUAGGGCGGAUAGUUGCAUGUGGUAGACGCGAAACCGGGUGAUCUAGCCAUGACCAGGAUGAAGUCUCAGUAAAAUGAGAUGGAGGUCCGAACCGACUCCUGUUGAAAAAGUAGCGGAUGAGUUGUGGCUAGGGGUGAAAGGCUAAUCAAACUCGGUGAUAGCUCGUUCUCCUCGAAAUAUAUUUAGGUAUAGCCUCGUGCGUAUAGCUGCGGAGGUAGAGCACUGAAUGGACUAGGGGGCCCACCAGCCUACCAAACCCUAUCAAACUCCGAAUGCCGCAGCUUGAUACACGGGAGUCAGGGAGCGGGGGAUAAGCUUCGUUCCCGAGAGGGAAACAACCCAGACCGUCGGCUAAGGUCCCCAAAUACAUGUUAAGUGACUAAGGAUGUGCGUUUGCUUUAACAGCUAGGAUGUUGGCUUAGAAGCAGCCAUCAUUUAAAGAAAGCGUAAUAGCUCACUAGUUCAGCGAAUGUGCGCCGAAAAUGACCGGGACUAAACAUGUUACCGAAGCUGCGGAAUCGGCAGAAAUGUCGAUUGGUAGAGGAGCGUUCCGUAAGCCUGCGAAGGUGUUCCGUAAGGGGUGCUGGAGGUAUCGGAAAUGAGAAUGCUGGAAUGAGUAGCGAUAAUGAAGGUGGAAAACCUUCACACCGUAAGUCUAAGGUUUCCUGGGCAAGGCUCGUCCUCCCAGGGUAAGUCGGGUCCUAAGCCGAGGCCGAACAGGCGUAGGCGAUGGGAAACAGGUAUAAAAUUCCUGUACCGCGCUGUGAUGCGAUGGGAUGACGCGGGAAGCUAUGGUCGGCCCCCUAACGGACGGGGGUCUAAGGGUAUAGGCGGGGAAUCCAGGCAAAUCCGGGUUUCUAUUUAAACGCUGAAGCCUGACGGGGAACUGCGCACUUCGGUGCAAAGGAACCGACCGAUGCUCGGCCGCCGAGAAAAGUCUCUAAGCUUCAGUCACAGCCGCCCGUACCGCAAUCCGACACAGGUAGACGAGGCGAGUAGCCUCAGGUGCGCGAGAGAACCGUGGUAAAGGAACUCGGCAAAAUAGCCCCGUAACUUCGGGAGAAGGGGUGCCUGCAGCGAUGCAGGCCGCAGUGAAGAGGCCCAAGCGACUGUUUAGCAAAAACACAGCACUCUGCCAAAUCGUAAGAUGAAGUAUAGGGUGUGACACGUGCCCGGUGCCGGAAGGUUAACAGGAGAUGUCAUUCGGGGUAACCCGGAGAAGCGUUGAAUCGAAGCCCCGGUAAACGGCGGCCGUAACUAUAACGGUCCUAAGGUAGCGAAAUUCCUUGUCGGGUAAGUUCCGACCUGCACGAAUCGUGUAACGACUUGGGCGCUGUCUCUACCACGGACUCGGCGAAAUUGGAAUGCCGGUGAAGAUACCGGCUACCCGCAGCUAGACGGAAAGACCCCAUGAACCUUUACUGCAACUUGGCAUUGGGUUUCGGUUGCGUAUGUGCAGGAUAGGUGGGAGACAGUGAAGCGGGGGCGUCAGCCUCUGUGGAGUCACCCUUGACAUACCACCCUUAUUCAAUUGGAAUUCUAACCUCGCCCCGUGAAUCCGGGGCAGGAACAGUGCCAGGGGGCCAGUUGACGGGGCGGUCG